rnacentral:tRNA from 1 species
ACCCCGAUGAUUUGUAGUGGUAGCAAGCAACCCUUACAUGGUUGAGGUCAAGGUUCGAUUCCUUGUUGGGGUA